ACUCAAAUGAAUUGACGGGGGCCCGCACAAGCGGUGGAGCAUGUGGUUUAAUUCGACGCAACGCGCAGAACCUUACCAGCCCUUGACAUCCCGGUCGCGGACUCCAGAGAUGGAGUUCUUCAGUUCGGCUGGACCGGAGACAGGUGCUGCAUGGCUGUCGUCAGCUCGUGUCGUGAGAUGUUGGGUUAAGUCCCGCAACGAGCGCAACCCCCGUCCUUAGUUGCUACCAUUUAGUUGAGCACUCUAAGGAGACUGCCGGUGAUAAGCCGCGAGGAAGGUGGGGAUGACGUCAAGUCCUCAUGGCCCUUACGGGCUGGGCUACACACGUGCUACAAUGGCGGUGACAAUGGGAUGCUAAGGGGCGACCCUUCGCAAAUCUCAAAAAGCCGUCUCAGUUCGGAUUGGGCUCUGCAACUCGAGCCCAUGAAGUUGGAAUCGCUAGUAAUCGUGGAUCAGCACGCCACGGUGAAUACGUUCCCGGGCCUUGUACACACCGCCCGU
rnacentral:rRNA from 1 species